GACGAACGCUGGCGGCGUGCCUAAUACAUGCAAGUAGAACGCUGAAGCGAGGAGCUUACUCUUCUUGGAUGAGUUGCGAACGGGUGAGUAACGCGUAGGUAACCUGCCUUGUAGCGGGGGAUAACUAUUGGAGACGAUAGCUAAUACCGCAUAACAAUGGAUGACACAUGUCAUUUAUUUGAAAGGGGCAAUUGCUCCACUACAAGAUGGACCUGCGUUGUAUUAGCUAGUAGGUGAGGUAAUGGCUCACCUAGGCGACGAUACAUAGCCGACCUGAGAGGGUGGUCGGCCACAAUGGGACUGAGACACGGCCCAGACUCCUACGGGAGGCAGCAGUAGGGGAUCUUCGGCAAUGGGGGGAACCCUGAACGAGGAACGGCGCGUGAGGGGAGGAGGUUUUCGGAUCGUAAAGCUCUGUUGUAAGUCAAGGACGGGAGGGAGAGUGGAAAGUUCACGCUGUGACGGUAGCUUACCAGAAAGGGACGGCUAACUACGUG
rnacentral:rRNA from 1 species